UAUUUUUCAAAUUUAUUCAUAUUUCUGCUUAAUGGAUGACAUACUUGAUGGAAGUAUCUUAAUAAAAAAAAUGAUGAUUUUCUUUCUUUUCUCCACAGAAACAAAAUGGGUUAAAAAUGAAGAGACGGCUGUCUUAUGUUUACUUCUACUGUAUUUUGCUGGAUUAAAAAUUAGUUGCAAAUCCAGCUUCUUUCAAAGACACAAAGUCAAAGAGGUAAACAGUUCAAAAGAUGAACAGUCAAAAUCCCAAAACAAGCUCCAACAAAGUUACAUCUCUCACCUAUUAGAAGCGCAAAAUCCUCAAAGAUCAAAAGUGUGAUUUUUUUAAACAAAAGAUGCUGCCUCCAACAACAGAGAAACGCUUCAAAAUCAGAUAAAAUCACAUCGAAAGGAGCCAUGAUGACAGCGGUGAGGAAGGAAAAAAAAGGUAGAAAAUAAGCAAAAGCUGCGCCAGAAGAAGAAGAGAAAAUGGGAGAAAAGAAGAGGGUCUAAAAGCACGUAGAGGCUCUUUUUUUUUUUUUUUUUUUCCCCCUCGGAGGAUGUUGUUGCCGGAGCAGCAACGCUCAGCAUCCAAGAUCUGACUCCCUGCAUGCAGGAAACAUUUCUCCACGUCGGAACACCGAAACAAGAGAGGAGCAAGAAGGAGACAAAACCAAUCUGAAGUUGUGACUAAAAAGCUGUCAGAGCUCCAGAAAAAUCGUCUUGCUCCACACACCUGUGUUUCAUCAGCAAUCACUUCAUCUUCUACAUUUACCUCCUGGGUUUCUGCAAAUUCCGGGUCAAAUCUUC